rnacentral:rRNA from 1 species
GACGAACGCUGGCGGCGCGCCUAACACAUGCAAGUCGAACGAGCGAGAGAGAGCUUGCUUUCUUGAGCGAGUGGCGAACGGGUGAGUAACGCGUGAGGAACCUGCCUCAAAGAGGGGGACAACAGUUGGAAACGACUGCUAAUACCGCAUAAGCCCACAGCUCGGCAUCGAGCAGAGGGAAAAGGAGCAAUCCGCUUUGAGAUGGCCUCGCGUCCGAUUAGCUAGUUGGUGAGGUAAUGGCCCACCAAGGCGACGAUCGGUAGCCGGACUGAGAGGUUGAACGGCCACAUUGGGACUGAGACACGGCCCAGACUCCUACGGGAGGCAGCAGUGGGGAAUAUUGCACAAUGGGGGAAACCCUGAUGCAGCGACGCCGCGUGGAGGAAGAAGGUCUUCGGAUUGUAAACUCCUGUUGUUGAGGAAGAUAAUGACGGUACUCAACAAGGAAGUGACGGCUAACUACGUGCCAGCAGCCGCGGUAAAACGUAGGUCACAAGCGUUGUCCGGAAUUACUGGGUGUAAAGGGAGCGCAGGCGGGAAGGCAAGUUGGAAGUGAAAUCCAUGGGCUCAACCCAUGAACUGCUUUCAAAACUGUUUUUCUUGAGUAGUGCAGAGGUAGGCGGAAUUCCCGGUGUAGCGGUGGAAUGCGUAGAUAUCGGGAGGAACACCAGUGGCGAAGGCGGCCUACUGGGCACCAACUGACGCUGAGGCUCGAAAGUGUGGGUAGCAAACAGGAUUAGAUACCCUGGUAGUCCACACUGUAAACGAUGAUUACUAGGUGUUGGAGGAUUGACCCCUUCAGUGCCGCAGUUAACACAAUAAGUAAUCCACCUGGGGAGUACGACCGCAAGGUUGAAACUCAAAGGAAUUGACGGGGGCCCGCACAAGCAGUGGAGUAUGUGGUUUAAUUCGACGCAACGCGAAGAACCUUACCAAGUCUUGACAUCCUGCGACGGUGCUGGAAACAGUACUUUCCUUCGGGACGCAGAGACAGGUGGUGCAUGGUUGUCGUCAGCUCGUGUCGUGAGAUGUUGGGUUAAGUCCCGCAACGAGCGCAACCCUUAUGGUCAGUUACUACGCAAGAGGACUUUGGCCAGACUGCCGUUGACAAAACGGAGGAAGGUGGGGAUGACGUCAAAUCAUCAUGCCCUUUAUGACUUGGGCUACACACGUACUACAAUGGCGUUAAACAAAGAGAAGCAAGACCGCGAGGUGGAGCAAAACUCAGAAACAACGUCCCAGUUCGGACUGCAGGCUGCAACUCGCCUGCACGAAGUCGGAAUUGCUAGUAAUCGCAGAUCAGCAUGCUGCGGUGAAUACGUUCCCGGGCCU